rnacentral:pre_miRNA from 1 species
ACAACAACGUUCGGACCGUCGGUCUACCGAGCAAUAUCACCCGCUCGGUGGAAGAUCUUCCCUUUGUCGUAUAUA